rnacentral:tRNA from 1 species
GCGGGAAUGGUGAAAUAGGUAGCCACGCUAGGUUUAGGAUCUAGUAUCUUAUUGGUAUACGAGUUCAAGUCUCGUUUCCCGCA